rnacentral:rRNA from 1 species
AUUGAAAGCUGGCGGACGGCCUAUCACUUGCAAGUCGAACGGUAACUGGAAACCGCUUGCUGUUUCGCUGACGAGUGGCGGACGGGUGAGUAAUGUCUGGGAGACUGCCUGUUGGAGGGGGAUAACUACUGGAAACGGUAGCUAAUACCGCAUAACGUCGCAAGACCAAAGAGGGGGACCUUCGGGCCUCUUGCCAUCGGAUGUGCCCAGAUGGGAUUUGCUAGUAGGUGGGGUAACGGCUCACCUAGGCGACGAUCCCUAGCUGGUCUGAGAGGGUGGCAGUACAAACUAGAACUGACCCACGGUCGAGACUCCUACGGGCGGCAGAGGUUAUGAAUAUGUUACAAUGGGCGCACGCCUGCUGCAGCGCUGCGGCGUGUAUGAAGAAGGCCUUCGGGUUAUAAAGUUCUUUCAGCGGGGAGGAAGGGAGUAAAGACAAUACCUUUGCUCAUUGCCGUUACCCGCAGAAGAAGCCCCGACUAACUCCGUGCCAGCAGCCGCCGUAA